rnacentral:lncRNA from 1 species
AAAUUAUAAGUUGUAAAAAAGGUUGAACUAACUGGGUCAACUUGGGUUCCAAAUCUUANNNNNNNNNNNNNNNNNNNNNNNNNNNNNNNNNNNNNNNNUCUUAACUUAGAUGGAAUUGACACUGAUCCAAUCUUUUCUGAAGUCACCACUGCUAUCUCAACAAUUAUUGGAAGACCUGAAAAGGUUAUAUUCAUUUCCCUCACUUUUUUCACUUUCUGUGUUUUUCAUACAAAACUUAUAUGAUUGAUUGUUUAUGAGUUUUUUUUUUCUUUUUUCAUUUGUCUGAAUCCUUUGUUGGCUUGACACAAAUUAUGGGAUCAAUUCUUUUUCUUUUCUUCUUAGUUUCUAUCUUUCUUUUUUUUAUUUUUGGUUGAUUUUGAUAGAAUGAUUCAUGUUCUUUGUUGAUUGUCUUGCUUUUGGAAAGUUUGUUUUGAUUACAUACUUACCAUAUAAUAUAAAAUUAAAAACACAGUUUUAGAAAAUAUUUUAAUUUGGGCUAUGAAGUAGGUAGUGAGUACUCAGGAAGGAAUGCGUUUUCUUUCACCAAAUAUAUAGAUUAUCAAUUAUGUGUGGCAAUAACUAUCAACUGAGUUAUUUUACAUGACAUUUUGAUUUCUUUCUAAAUAUUUUUUUUAUGUAAAUUGAGUGUCAUUCGCGCACAACUGCAUAAACUAAUCUCUCAAGUCUUAUAUGACCUAAAUGAGUGACAAACUCUUCGUAACAAUUUUAACAUUGUUACAUACCCCAAGUCAGGAGUUGAACCCAGGAUCCUGGUUAAACUAAAAAAGACCUGCGUUAUCUCGUCUAAGUGUUUUUGGAUGUAUUUGUCUUACAUCGGUGUGAUUUCAUUAUUAUGGCAGCAAAUAAAAACAAACAUGUCUGGUUUCAUUUGAAUUUGUUAAUCAUUCCCAUGCAACUUGGUCAAAUCCAAGGCAAAGUUGGGUGUUUUGGUUUGGGGAAGUGUAGUAAUUUUAGUUUGUCUUUCAGUGUUCUUUAUUAUUGUUGACUUUAAAAUCAUAUCUCAAUGUUAAAAUAAUGAGAUAUGAUUUUAAAUUUCGUAAGACUUGAAUCUCCAUUAAAAAAAAUACUAUUCA